rnacentral:rRNA from 1 species
AAUCAACGCUGGCGGCGUGCCUCAGACAUGCAAGUCGAACGAUUAAAGCUCCCUUCGGGGAGUGCAUAAAGUGGCGCACGGGUGAGUAACACGUAAGUAAUCUACCUUCGAGUGGGGAAUAACGUCCGGAAACGGACGCUAAUACCGCAUAAUGCAGCGGCAUCGCAAGAUGACAGUUGUUAAAGAUUUAUCGCUUGAAGAGGAGCUUGCGGCAGAUUAGCUUGUUGGUAAGGUAACGGCUUACCAAGGCUACGAUCUGUAACCGGUCUAAGAGGACGGUCGGUCACACUGACACUGAAUAACGGGUCAGACUCCUACGGGAGGCAGCAGUCGGGAAUUUUGGGCAAUGGGGGAAACCCUGACCCAGCAACGCCGCGUGAAGGAUGAAGUAUUUCGGUAUGUAAACUUCGAAAGAAUAGGAAGAAUUAAUGACGGUACUAUUUAUAAGGUCCGGCUAACUACGUGC